UGAUCCUUCAACUGGCGAUUA
rnacentral:siRNA from 1 species